rnacentral:rRNA from 1 species
UACAGAGACUGCAAGCGUUAUUCGGAUUCACGGGGCGUAAAGGGUGCGCAGGCGGCCGUGUGUGUGAGGCGUGAAAGCCCGGGGCUUAACCCCGGAAUUGCACCUCAAACUACACGGCUAGAGCAUUGGAGAGGGUAGCAGAAUUCACGGUGUAGCAGUGAAAUGCGUAGAUAUCGUGAGGAAUACCAGAGGCGAAGGCGGCUACCUGGACAAUUGCUGACGCUCGGGCACGAAAGCGUGGGGAGCAAAAGGG